UGAAGCCAGAAGAACGAUUACAGGUGCACAUCCACAUAAAAGAAUGAUUACGGAAACAAACUACACUUGUUAUCGGUCCAUACUUCCAGUUCACUGUGCUGGAAUUGGCCGAAAACGUAGCGAGGGACAAUAAGAAGACCUGUAUCAUGCCGCAACACAUUCAUGUUGUAGCUAUUUUGGUGUGAUGGUGAUGAGAUGUUUUUUGAUCAUGGCCUAAAAUGAUCUGCUACUGUGAAGAUCCUAAUGAUGCUUCAAACAUCUUCUAGUGUCGAUGCCGACGAUGACGAGGAUGAGGACAGAGAGGAGAUCGGUAGCGAGUAGGAGGAUGAUGAAGAAGACGAGGAGAAUGAGGAGGAUGAUAGUGAGGGUGGUAGUAGUAGUUCUUUUUCUUUUCUUUUUUUUGUUUACAGCUUAAGGGAGAGGAUAAAUGUAACGCCCGUAUAAUGGUUUUUGUAUUCGGAAGACUAUGUAUUACACUCAUCAUUCUAGUGAAUGCCAUAGUUUGCUCUAUU